GGUGGAGCGAUUUGUCAGGUUAAUUCCGAUAACGAACGAGACUCUAGCCUAUUAAAUAGACAAUAUAUUAUUAGUAUAUCGAGCUUCUUAGAGGGACAGGCAGCGUCUAGCUGCACGAGAUUGAGCAAUAACAGGUCUGUGAUGCCCUUAGAUGUCCGGGGCUGCACGCGCGCUACAAUGAUAAUAGCAACGUGCAUUAAAACCUUUUCUGGUAAGAAUUGGUAAACACGAAAUAUUGUCGUGCUUGGGAUAGGGGAUUGAAAUUAUUGCCCUUAAACGAGGAAUUCCCAGUAAGUGCGAGUCAUCAGCUCGCGUUGAAUACGUCCCUGCCCUUUGUAC
rnacentral:rRNA from 1 species